rnacentral:misc_RNA from 1 species
GGUAGUAAAAGUCGUAACAAGGUUUCCGUAGGUGAACCGGCGGAAGGAUCAUUAUUGUAUAACCGAGGUGCGAGGGCUGUCGCUGACCCGAAAGGUCGUGCACGCCCGAGUGCCCUCACACACAUCCAUCUCACCCCUAUGUGCACCACCGCGUGGGUCCCCCUUUGGCUUGUUCGGAGGGGAGCUUACGUUUUCACACAAACUUUGUAUGCAGUGUAGAAUGUAUUUUUUGUUUUUGCGAUCACGCAAUCAAUACAACUUUCAACAACGGAUCUCUUGGCUCUC